rnacentral:misc_RNA from 1 species
UGGAAGGUAAAGAAAAACGUGCGACUCAGUCACGCUGCCCGCAUUUCCUCCGCUCUUCGAUUUCCUGCUUGCCAAGGCCCAGCACAUUGGUGUCCACAUUGAGGAGGAGAGAAGAGACAUCAUCUGCCAUCCUUGCUGACACCUAAUUAGGAAAACGGUGAAUUUGAGGCCACGCCACAUGGCACGGACGGCACAAGGCUGCCUGCUGCUGGCUCA